GCUGGGUACAGGGGUGCAUGUCUGUAAUCCCAGCAACUCAGGAGGCUGAGGCAGGAGGAUUGCAGAUUCAGGGACAGCCUCAGCAAUUUAGCAAAGCUCUAAACAAUUUAGUGAAACCCUGUCUCAA
rnacentral:sRNA from 1 species